UCAAAUAAGCCUCACAUAGUAAAUUAGCAAUUACAUUUUUUUGCUGACCAAUUUCGACAAUCUCUCUCGGUGACUUCAACACAAAAAUUCCACACUUCUUGGGCUUAUUUUCAUGGACAGAUUUUGGGUUGAAUAAAACCAAAGAUUUUAUAACUAAACCAAGAUAACCCACAGCCUGUCGUUUCAAACGGAAACAAAUGAGUCAUAGUGGGCAGAACAAGCAAGGAGGUUGGCAGAGCCAAGCACGAUUUCGCGAGAACCUAUUGGUUCGUUCUGUCAUGUAUUUGCAUAUUUCCGUUAGAGAGCGCCGACUCUGCGAAGUGCGCUUGUGCCUUUGCGCCCCUUCAAAACAAUGCGAAUUUAAAAAAAGUCUAAUUGGGUAAAGUCUGUCGUAACAUAUUUUAGAUUUUGGAAAAUAAAACUGUAUUGAGAUUAAAUAUUUAAUCGAUGAGAAAAUUAGUAAAAUGUUCGAAUACAUCCAAUCUUCUCCCCACUGAUUUUGGUAUUGGCCAUAUUUGGUAGUGAGGGGAAAUGCCAAGCGGAAGCUUCAAAUAGAUACAUCCGGUGAAAUAUUUGUCUCAUUGUUCUGUGGUAAAAACCUUUUUGGCUUCGCGUCUUCACGGCCCGGUCCACAUCUGGGAGGGUCAACCGGGUCGAUGCAGCGACAAGACGGGAAGUGGAUGAACUUGCGCCACUAAACGAUAUAUUUUCACAGUACGCAAAUGACCUGAUUUUUUAAAAAUUAAUUUUAUUUUUGGAAACCCAUCACCAAUAUCCAACAUGGGGAGGGAAAGGAAGUGCAUUCUCUGUCAGAUCGUAUACAGCUCCAAACAGGAGAUGGAUGAGCAUAUGAAGAGCAUGCUGCAUCAUCGGGAACUGGAGAACCUGAAGGGCCGGUGAGAACUACUGCUGAACUUACCC